CUCACAUCAGGGAGAUGAGGAAAGGAAGCUUCGGCCUCCGCUCUCUGGAUGGUCCCGUGGUCCAUUAGCUUGUUGGUGAGGUAAUGUGCUACCAAGGCG
rnacentral:rRNA from 1 species